rnacentral:rRNA from 1 species
UGCGUAGGCGGUCCUACAAGUCAGAGGUGAAAGGCUACGGCUCAACCGUAGUAAGCCUUUGAAACUGUAGGACUUGAGUGCAGGAGAGGAGAGUGGAAUUCCCAGUGUAGCGGUGAAAUACGUAGAUAUUGGGAGGAACACCAGUUGCGAAGGCGGCUCUCUGGACUGUAACUGACGCUGAGGCACGAAAGCGUGGGGAGCGAACA